rnacentral:rRNA from 1 species
UACGUAGGAGGCAAGCGUUGUCCGGAAUUACUGGGCGUAAAGCGCGUGUAGGUGGUGGGACAAGUCUGCUGUGAAAAGCGCCUGGCUUAACCGGGCGAGGUCGGCGGAAACUGUCCGACUCGAGGACGGUAGAGGGGGGUGGAAUUCCCGGGUGUAGUGGUGAAAUGCGUAGAGAUCGGGAGGAACACCUGUGGCGAAGGCGGCCCCCUGGGCCGGCCCUGACACUGAGACGCGAAGGCGUGGGGAGCGAACGGGG